UUUUUUUAAGGAUAGGUUCGGAAAAGAAGUAGCUAAUACAAGCCUUAAUACUUUUACUUCUGUAUGUUUUUUGAGUAUGUAUUUGUUAAGCCCUAUAAGAGAAAAGAGUAUUAACUGAAGGAAUUAUAACAAAUAACUAACACUUAAUUUAUUUCAUUUUAUUUGUUGUGUAUCAAUCUCGUUCCUGACCUAUCUUCUUGUGAUGUUAUGGUAUUGGCCUGGCAUGGCUAUGACAGGUA
rnacentral:rRNA from 1 species